CAAUAGCGUAUAUUAACGUUGUUGCAGUUAAAAAGCUCGUAGUUGGAUUUCUGGAGGGAGCGUCGGCCCGUAUUUACGAGUGCGUGACGUCUCUGUCCAUCCUUGCGGGAAGGCACGGCAUUGAUUUGUUGUGUCGGAUCGCAUCAUUUACUGUGAAAAAAUUAGAGUGUUCAAAGCAGGCUUUCGCUUGAAUACAUUAGCAUGGAAUAAUAAGAUAGGACUUUGGUGCCAUUUUGUUGGUUGAGCCUAAAGUAAUGAUUAAUAGGGAUAGUUGGGGGCACCUGUAUUGCGUUGUCAGAGGUGAAAUUCUUGGAUUUACGCAAGACAAACAGCUGCGAAAGCGUCUGCCAAGGAUGUUUUCAUUAA
rnacentral:rRNA from 1 species